AAAAAAAAAAGGCAAUUUAUUUAUUCAUAGUUCCUCCAACAACUCAGCGCUAAGACAAACCAGCUCACUACCGAGGGAAACAGGCGACUGCCAGCCGCCCCGGAAGGCCCUGCUCGCCCGGAGCGUACCGUUUGCAGGACCCACCUGCGCCUCUGGUCAUUACCACACCGAGUGGCCGAAGUUCGUAGGCUACGGAGGAAUUUUUUAAACCAAAGGCGAAGUGCCACUGCUGGGGACAUACUUACUCCGACCCGCGCCGCAGGCAGUUACCAGUUUGCGCCGCGGCGCAGCGUCCGAGUCCGCAGGCCCGAGCCCUCCCGCCCCUCACCCGGCGCCGCGGGACCGCCACGAGCGCUUGGCACUCACCAGGGCCGCCAGACCCGGGCUCCGGCGCCGCAGCGCCGCCAGCAAGGGCCGCGUCGCCCCCAGCGCCCCGAGAACCGCCGCCAUGGCGUCCGCCGCAAGCUUCCCGGCGCGCUACUUGCCCGCCGCCCCGGCCGCCUCUCCCCGGAGUCGGCUCCAAGUGGCAGGCAGCGCCGAGCCGCGAGCCCAGCCGCCACGCAGGCCCCGGCGCGCCCCAGAGGCCUGCAGGAGCUGCAACGGCUGCUGACCGGGCUGGGUGCCGGGCGGGCGGACGCGCGCUCUGUCCGCGUGGUCCCCGCCGAGUGCCGGCUGGCCGCGGCAGGGAGCAGCAGGGCGCUAGGUUUGCCGUGCAGCCCCCGACCUCGCCUCGGACCUCGGCCUGCCUGGGACUCGCGCACCGUCCGACCUCGCGGGGCUCCCUUCUGGGGACGCCAGCGAUAGAAGGCAAGGGCAAGGGGGCACGAGGGAGCUGCCCCCUAGGUAGUUAGUUCAGUUCUGGGGACAGCGGACCUUAGUGAUUCACCUCGAAAGCAUGCAAAUCAGGCAGCUGUGGGUUCGAAUCUAUCUGUGGUCAACCGUAUCUGUCUUGAUAAAGUAGUAAAAGCUGCAUCUUUAGCCUCCCCGCGGGCUCAACACCGGAGCCUCUCCAGAGACAGGUGAGGACAGGAAAACUGUCUCGUGUAUUGGGAGGUAUUCUUUCUUUUAUGUAUUCCAUGUGUGUAUUUAUUAAUAUUUUUCUUUUUGAGAUGUAAUUGACAAACCAUCAGGUUCACCCUCUAAAACGUAGUGUUUUUAGCAUUAACUUGUAUUCGAAAUAAGCAAAUGAAUGACAUAAAUGGGUUUGGAGAGUUUACAGCAAAAGAAUAGAUAUAUACAAAAGAUCGAUUUAACCGUUGUGAGCCGUCAGUUUUAUAUCCCACAUGGAUUUGAAAAAAGUAUAAAGCCUUUUGCCUCAAAAUGGCCUAAAAUUCAUGGGCUUCUGGCUUGGCCUGCUUUCUUCCCUUUUGCCCACUUGACAAGACAUGGCUAUCUGAAAAGCAAAACCCAGGGGAAGACUCAAGCUGGGGGUGCGGGAUGGGGGAGGCCUGAACAUGUCACUGGCAACAGGCAUGUAAGACACUGGCUUCUUUCCAGGGUUCCUGAGACAGACAGACUACAAGUGUAAUUAAAGUUUGUAUUUCCAAUAUUUACACUGGGUGUUUACGAUCAUGAAAAAUAUUCUUGAAAUUUGCUUAUUAAAGUGAGAACUGAAAAAUGAACUGCUAUGUGUGAUUUAACAAAUUAGUGACUCUUCGUCACUUUCCUUCCUUAACACUUUGUGAAACUGUAGCAUCUCAACUCUAGUCAGGCAAACAGCCAAAGAAAGAUGGUAAGGGUCAGGGGAGUGAUGUCAUCUGGUAGGGGCUUUGAAUGCUCUGCCUUCACACAUAGCUCCCAGAUUAAUAGGAUUUAAGCCCCUUAGCAAAGACAACUGGGUACAUCCUUUGCAGUGGUCAACCAUGUUUGGCUUGCGAAUGUUAGGCUUAUCCUGGACUGCUUCCUUUCCUCCUGCUACUUCCCUUUCCUUCCCUCAAAACCAGUGUUUCCUGACAAAUCUCUGCAGCUCCUCUGUAGGGAAUAGCCUUGCUCCUUAUUUCCCUCCAGGGGAACUCCACAUAGCUGGUCUUAACUGAGUGUUAGAAGCAAGCCAUGGAUAUGCUGGUCAUCCUGGGAGCCCUCCCUCCCCUUCCAGACUAGAAUAGCAACCCAGUAUAUAUCACAAGGCAUGAAAACGCUUAAAUCUUUUAUAUAUAAUUACAACACUGGGAAUUUGCCCCCAACAAAAUUUGUAAUUCUUUUAUAUUCCAAAAUGAGACUAUAUGCAAUUAUAUCCAGCCAAAGAAGACAGGUAAGUAUGCUGAAUCUAUUCAAAGGUCUGUUAAGAUUAAGAAAACUACUAGCAACAGUGAGAUGUAAGUCAUUUGUUAAGCAAAAAAAAAAAAAAAAUCCAGUUGCUAAAUUUUAACAAUAGUAUGACUACAACACACCAGAGAAAGCCUAGAGGGAAAGGCAAUCAGUGGUUACCUGGGACAUGGUAUGGAGCUGGGGAGGGUCCCAUCUCUCAGAGGUUCUAGAGUAAGAAUGCUUAUGUUUGAAGCUUGGUCCCACCACUGGAAGAGCAAGUUCUGGGGGCCUCCUUUUACUCUUUGAAAUGAGGCUAUUUAAGAGUAUCCAUCUCAGGGUUAUUUUAUGGAUAAAUGAAACAAUAUGAGUAAAGCAUUUAAAAUAGCACCUAGUAUUCACAGUAACAGCUCAAAUGUUAGUUACUAUCACAGAUGGAAUCAUUAAAGGUUUUUUUACAAGUAUAUUUGUGAAGUUCAAAUCCCAGCUUCAUUAAUUUACUAUCUAUGUAGCUUCAGGAAAUUACUUAACCUCUUUAAGCCUCAGUUUGCUUAUUUGUAAAAUGGACACCAUAAUGCUACUGUCCUGAGCUAUGGUCCCCUUCUGCCAGUGGACAUCCCAACCAUGGCUGUUCACAAUAUGACACAUAAAGCUGUCAAUUCUCAUUCAGUGUAACACUCAGGAAACCAAAUUCUAUAGAAUUUAGGGUAUAAUGAUAUACACAUUAAACUAUCUAAAAUACUGGAAAUAAUUAGUACUGUGAUUACAAUAUGCUUUAGCAUGGAACUAAUAAAUUACCUUGAGUUAUAAAAAUAUUUACUUUGCAAGGCAUGGUGGUGCACGCCUGUAAUCCCAGCUAUUCAGAAGGCUAAGACAAAAGGAAAAGAUGAUCACUAGUUCAAGGCCAGCCUGGGUAACUAAGAGCCUAUCUCAACAUAAUUUUUUUUUAAACUGGGUGCAGUGGCGCACACCUGUAAUCCCAGCAGCUCCAGAGGCUGAGACAGGAGGAUCAGAAAUUCAAAGCCAGCCUCAGCAACAGCAAGGUGCUAAGCAACUCAGUGAGACCCUGUCUCUAGAUAAAAUACAAAAUAGGGCUGGGGAUGUGGCUCAGUGGUCAAGUUUCCCAGAAUUCAAUCCCCGGUACCAAAAAAAAAGAUCAGGGAUGCAGUUUAGUGGCAGAUUACUUGCCUAGUGUAUGCAAGGUCUUGUGUUCAAUCCCUAAUACAAAAAAAAAUUUUUUUUUAAUUACUUUUUCCUAACAUCUGUCUUACCUAGAAACAAGUGAAAUCACUUUAAAUUCUUUCAGUGAAAGCAGAGAUCACAAACACCAAGAUAUUUCACUUUUUUAUUUUCCAUCAGUUGCAAUUUUAGGGAUACACUGUCAGUUCUAAUUAUUCUUCCCAUAACAAAACAUGUUCCUGCUUAACCAACUCUGGAAGAGAAACUGCAAACAGAAAACAAACUUUCCUAGACAUACACAAGGAACCAAGAAUUUUCUAUUUCUGCCUUGUACACAGUAAUCAUAAUGGCACUAUACUUAUUAUUCUACCAUAAUAUGUCUUCACAUUUCAAACUGGAUUAUUCCUAAAAUAUUGGGUUAUAUUCAAGCAAUAAAAACAAGAAUAGUAAGUUCUAAUGAAUAUUUUUGCAUCUGCUUAUUCCAAAACUAGUUAAAACACCAGUUUGUAAUUCUUUUACCCAUUCAACAAAGGCAUGAUUCUUUUAACUUGACUGAAGUUGCAAGUCAACACUUCACUGGAGAAAAUGUAUGAGAUUACAGCAAUAAUUUCUGAAAUGAAAAACUGCAAGUUCUCCUCUCUUCAACUUCUUUCAGUCCAUCACUACUCGGCAUGUUCCUGCUCUUGUCCUGGAAUUAGCCACCGAAUACUCUCAGUUCGAAUGGUAGCAUACAUAAUAAAACUAAUUAAAAAGAAUAAGGAAAAUACGAGCAACCAGUCCACGCUUUUUAUCAAAGUGCUGGGAAGAGGGCCUAUUUGGUCAGCUUGAGUUACCACCACAUUUUUCUUGGCUUCUAUACCUGAAAGAAAAAUCAAUUGUUUCAAACCAGAGAGAAAACACAUCCGCCACAGAUUUUUUUGAAGUACGAUGCAUGGUAUGCAAAAUGACAUGCAAUCCUAAAAUAAACACCACCACUAUUAUAUCUGGGAUGAAUUUCACCUGCUUGUCAGUAUAAUUUGUAGCUUGCCUUUCUCCCCACCACAUCAAAGGAACAGGAAUCCAUUCAACUAUUCCAAGCUAAAAUUCCAGAAUUUCUGUGGACUCAUCAGAGAUUUCUUAGUCAAUGCCUUGUAAGAGCUGCCUUUUGUUCUCCUGAGACCAAAGUUUAACAAGCUACUUAUUUGCAGGAGUUCACAGAAUGUUUUUUUCACGUGUUUAAGUAAUGCUGAAUUCAAAAUGUUUUUAAAUAAGUUACUGAAAAAAUUGGUAGAACUAGCAACUAUUAGGAUUGGUAAUCACCAAAGACACUAGGACUCCUAGAUUUUGUGUGUUCUACAUUUUCCUAGAGCAGUGAAGAAAAUGGCUUCCUCUCCACACACCAGUCUGGGAUCCAGUACUAGACCUGGAUUCCUAACCACUUUGUGGCCCACUUGCACCCCUCCAAUUAACUUAGCACUUUGCUCUUUAGUGUUAAGAGAAAAGUGAUUGCAUGCAACUCACUAUAUAUGGGAAGUGUAUUCUAAUUUGAACUUAUUUCCACUGAGUACACUUCAGAAAGAAGGGAUACUCUUAGUUAAGACAGUAAGGCUUUUAAGUAGUUAGUUAAGUUUUACAAUGGAGGAAAUUUUCUUCAAUUUAAAUGCUCAAACUCUUACAAAGAGUAAAAAGUGAAGUUGUGUUUGUUUGGUUUGGUUUGAUUGUUUGCAGUGCUGAGAAUCAAACCCACGGUCCUGCACAUGUUAGGAAAGUGCUCUUACACUGACCUGCACCCCCAGCCCUGGCCAUAUGUUUAAACAUUAAGGAAUUAAAUUAAAGAAUUAAAAUAACAUCUGCAAAUGGAUUAAUAAAUGAAUGCCAACAAAACAAAAACAAUGCAAACAUAUCUCAUAAGCAUAGUAGUUGGAUGAAAUAAGUCAGACAUCCAAGAAUAUACAAAAUACAUCUCCACUAAUACAAAACAGGUAACACUAGACUCUGGUAUGGAGUCAAGACUGGCUAUCUUUGCAGAGGGGCUACUUUGCUCAUGUGUUUCUUAUACUGAGUACGGGUUACCCAGGGUAUAGAUAUCUUUUUACAUACAUUUUCAGUUGUAUGUAAUGUUGAAAUUUCACUUUAUAAAAAUUCAUCACUAAUGAUUUAGGUAAUUCUGUGUAAAUAUUAAAUAACUAAAAAUGAAUAUAAAAAGGUGUCUAUAGGUAAAGUGUAUGAUAUGUGAAUUAUAUUUUAAUAAAUCUUUUUUUUAAAUGGUAUCUAUAAUCAUUAAAUUACCUAUUCAUGUUAAGCUUGCACUGAUGGAGAGGUAUUUAACAAGAUCACGAGUUCCUUAGAAAAGAACUUUAAUUAAUUAAUUAAUUAAUUUUUAAAUAAAAUAAUUUUGACACUUUAAAGUCAAUCUAAGGAUGGAUUUAAGCAGAUCAAAAGGUAUACACUGCCAGGCACAGUGACGCAUGCCUGUAAUCCCAGUGGCUGGCAAGACUGAAACAGGAGGAUUGUGAGUUCAAAGCCAGCCGCAGCAACUUGAAGACUAAUAAGCAACUCAGUGAGACCCUGUGGGAUGUGGUUCAGUGGCCCUGAGUUCAAUCCCCAGUAACUCCCCAAAAAGAAAGGCAUACACCCCCAGAAGUAAGAUAUCUUCUUCCCCAGCAUAUUAUUUCUACAUACCUGUCUGGUUAAAAAUGAAGAUUUUCAGUGUUUCCAGUGUUCGAUCUGUAUGAUUGAAUCUAGCCAUUGGUUUAGCUCCUUGAAAUAACAAAAUGUUAGGAACAGCUACAGUGCCAAACCUGGUAGAAAGGCUGAGAGAAAGAAGUCAAUUAGAAAACCUGAGUUAAUUAACAGCAAGCUUUCUCAUAUCAGAAUGGUUGAAAUAAAUGAGAAAGGAUCAGUUUUGUGUGACCUGAGGAGAUUUCCGAUAUUCAAAUUUGAAGCUUUCAGUUUUUUCUUGACCUCUUUCCUUAUGGGUCAGGAUUGGGGGUAUUCCUGAAUUGCUUUCUAUGACCAUGUGGAUCUACCCAUGACCCAAUUAUUCCACUAUUUAAGUUCCUAACUGUUAAACAUCAGAACAGAAAAUUCUAAUUCACGGACAAAGCACACUGUAUCAAUUUAUUUGACAGAAGAAAUUUCAAUUUCUUCAGAAUGCCCAUCUCCAUCCCUAAAAAAAACAAAAACAUCAACUUACAGAAAGCAAUUGGUUUGGUAAAUUGGUGCAAAGGAAUAUAUAACGUAAUGCACCGGGAAGUUCACAAUUAGGGGAAGAGGGCUUGGAAGUAAUCUGACCUGGGUAGGAUUAUUUCACCUCUACAAAAUACAGACCAGUCUGGGUUCUAGUCUCAGGCCACUGAACCAGGUGUGACCUAUGGGCAGAUAUAUUUAACCUCCCUAAACCUCAGCUUCCCCCAUUAGUGAAACAAUAAUAUUAGAUAAUCAAAAUAUUCUUCUCAUCAAGUAACAUGCUAUUUGCAUAUUAAUAUAUGAGAUUCCUAUGUUAUGAUUUAGAUCUUUUUUUUUUUUAAUGGUAUUGGGGAUUGAACUCAGGGGCACUUGACCACCGAGUCACAACCCAGCCCUAUUUUGUAUUUUAUUUAGAGACAGGGUCUCACUGAGUUGCUGAGGGCCUUGCUUUUGCUAAAAGGCUGGUUUUGAACUCAUGAUCCUCCUGCUUCAGCCUCCUGAGCCACUGGGAUUAUAGGCAUGCGCCACCUCACCUGCCGCCUAUGAUUUAGAUCUUAAACGUCCCCAAAAACUCAUGUGUUGAAGGCUUUGUACCCAGUGCAGUAGUGUUCAGAGGUGGGGGCUUUGGGAAGUAACUGGAUCAUAAGGUCUGACUUCAUUAAAUAAUUGAUCCAUUUAUGGGUUCACAGCUUAAUGUGUUUGGGGUGAGGCUUGUGACUACAAGCAAGCUCCAUCUACUUCCUGGCCACCAAGAGCUGAGCAGCUUUCCUCCACCAGGUGCUUCUGCUAUGAUGCCUUAGCACACCGGCAGGGCCUGAACUGACCAGGGGCUGAAGCCUUGGGAACCAUGAAACAAAAUAAAUUUCUAUUUCUUUUAUUCCUUUAUUCUUUUUCCAUAAAAGUUUCAUGUAAACAUUAGCAGUUAUAGACCAACACUGAAAAAUAUCAGUAGAGUACAAAUUAAUAAAGCCUUUACCAUCACCUUGACCAGGUUCCCAACAUUCUAGACUGAUUCACACACAUUGUCUUGUGACCUAGUAAGGAACAUCUGAUUUAGAAGAAGUGGGAACACAGUUUAUAAACUGGCCAUGAUCACAGCACUUAGGGUAAAUGCAAAAUAUCUGAAUAAAUUCUCUAACUUGUUUUAUUAGACAUUUUAAAAAGAUGAGCCAAGGGUGGUGGCACAUGCCUAUAAUCCCAGCUACUUGGGAAGCUGAAGCAGGAGGAUCAAGGUCAGCCUGGGCAAUGUAGCAAGACCCAAUUUACCCUCCCUCCCAAAAAAGAUAAAAACUGAGUGGGCAAUAUAACAGAAACAUAAAACAAAGGUAAAUGUUACUUUGAUGGAUUAAAUUAAUUCAUUACUUUAUUGAAUAUUUACUGUGAAACUUGCAUGCAAAGAGUAGAUGUAAGAGCUGGGUGCGGUGGUGCACACCUGUAAUCCCAGCAGCUCAGGAGGCUGAGGCAGGAGGAUCACAAGUUCAAAGCCAGCCUCAGCAAUGGCGAGGCACUAAGCCACUAGUGAGACCCUGUCUCUAAAUAAAAUACAAAAUAGUGCUGCGGAUGUGGCUCAGUAGUUGAGUGACCCUGAGUUCAAUCCCUGGUACUCAGAAAAAAAGAGUAUAUGUAAGAAGGAGGAAGGAAAGACAAGAGAAAAUACAAGGGAAGGAAGAAUGUCAAAGUAAACAUAGAACAAGGGUCCUAAGAGUUAGGCUGCCAGGGAUGGGGACUUAAUCUGCAGGUUAAAGUCACAAGAGACUUCAUACUAUGACACCAGUUGCACUAACUGGACUCUGGCCAGGACCCUCCAAAGUCCUUUGGACUUUAUUCUGCCAAAAUGGGACACCUUUAAAUCCACCACACAGAGACCAAGCCUCUUUUGUUAAGGGUCUUCCAAAAAAUGAUGCCACUGGCUUUCUCAGAAGUUUGACACUCUUGCACUAAUUCACUUUUUUUUUGGACACAGGAUCUCCCUGUGCUGCUCAUGCUACUCUCAAAUUCCUGGGCUCAAGUGAUUCUCCCACCUUAGCCUCCUGAGUAGCUGCGACUACAGGCAUGUGCCAUGGCACCUGGCUCACACACCUCAGUCUUGCCUUUCCCUUCCUUCCAUCAUCGCAUAGUUCUACCUCCUCCUCCUCCACUUCUAACUUAUCUAACUGCAGCCUCCACAAAACCGCACCAUCAGCCAAAAGGAUGAGCCAUAAACCCCGCCAUGGGAAGAUACCUGCUGUGCUGAGAUGCAUCCAGUGCCAAAAAGUGAAGAGCUGGAAACGCCCGGGGCAGAGAAUUAAAAUGAGGGGCCAAGCUGGCAGAAAACCGGCACCAUGGAGUGUAGAACAGUACCAGGGUACAGUCACUACCAUUCGGGUUUAGAAAAUCCAUAAGGUCCUGUGGUGAAAGAAACAGCACUGACGUCAGCAAUAAAGUACAUACACGUGCUUCUGGCCGGACACCCAAGAAAGAGAAACGCCUGCUGCCUCCAGAGAGAGGAACUGCAGCUGGAGGCAGGGAGAGCUGGGCAACUUCCUCAGGAACCUUUGGGAUUCAAACCACAUGGAUCCAGGAAUUAGUAGAAAAGCAGUACCAAAUGACUGCCUCCAUGAGAAGAGGGCUUCUUCUGCCACACACUCCCAACAUGGUGUACUGCUUCACCACAGGCCCAACAGUGACAGGGUCAACUGACCAUGAUCUGAAACCUACAAAACUGUGAGCUCAAACAAACCUUUCCUCUUUUUAAGUUGAUUAUCUAAGGUAUUUUGUUAGAGUAACAGAAAACUGACUAACACAUCCAUCAAACAAUCUCAAAUGAUAUUUGGGUCUGAUACUAUGAUAUCAGACCCAAACUAUCACUUUAGUAGAGCUAAGUCUAUACCAAGCAACUGGAUCAAUGCAUGAGGCUAAAGGUUACCUAAAGUCAAGGGUGCACUGUCCUUACCACCAGCUAUUUAAACUAUAACUCAGACUAUCCUGGUUAUGUAUGUGACUCAGUAAAACAAUACUGCAGGACUAAGGCAAAAUGUUUACCACAUUCAGGAGGGGAUGUGAGACCCCAGGCUGACCCUUGUUCCUAGAGAAGCUACAUGCACUAACUGUAUCAUGCCCUCCCUGACAAGAAACAAUCACAGCUUUCAGAGCUGGGAUUUAUUUUUCUCAUACAAGCAGCCUGACUUCAUCCUGCUCUUCUGGCUUCUCAACUAUAGAAAUUGUCAGUCAUUGUCCCAGAAUUCCCUUUGGAAUCAUCAUUUAUCCAACUAGCUGGAAAAGUACAGCUGGGUUUAGGACAACAGUCUCAGCUCUCGCUCCAGAACAAACUGGUCCACAUUCUUUAGAGGAAAGAAAAUGACAAUCAAUGUGACAUAACUUCAAGGAAUUAUAAAUACUUCUCAUCUAAAUACUGCUAAAUUCUAAUUUAGUUCAAUUUUGUUUUGUUUUGUUUUUUGAGACAGUGUUUCACUACUUUGCCCAGGUCAGUCUUGAACUGUGGGCUCAAGCCAGCCUCAGGAGUAGCUGGGACUGCAGGCACAAGCCACUGACCAGUUGUAACUCAGGUAUUUUAUGUUGCCUCUGUAAUAAAUACUUCGUUUGAAAGCAGGGCAAGUGUUCUACCACUGAGCUAUAUCCCCAGCCCUGGAAGUCAAAUGCUAUGAUUCUGAUGCUAACCACUAUCUAUCCACUAUCUAUCUACUAACUAUCUAUCCAUAGGGUUUUUAUCAUAGGGCACGAUGGUGAGAUUACCCAAGAAUGACUAGAUUUUGGCCACCUAAAAAGCAUAAUUGAGCCAAAGUGGUGCACACCUGUAAUCCCAACAAUUUGAGAGGCUGAAGCAAGAGGAUAGAAAGUUCAAAGCCAACCUCAGCAACUUAGUGAGACCCUGUCUCAAAAGAAAAAAAUUUUUAAAAAGGGCUAGGGAUCUGGCUCAGUGGUAAAGCACCCCUGGGUUCAAUACCCAGUACCAAAA